rnacentral:rRNA from 1 species
UGAGGAAUAUUGCACAAUGGGCGCAAGCCUGAUGCAGCAACGCCGCGUGGAGGACGACGGCCUUCGGGUUGUAAACUCCUUUUCUGGGGGACGAGCGAGGACGGUACCUCAGGAAUAAGUCUCGGCUAACUACGUGCCAGCAGCCGCGGUAAAACGUAGGAGGCGAGCGUUAUCCGGAUUUACUGGGCGUAAAGCGCACGCAGGUGGCUUGACAAGUCGGACAUGAAAGCUCCUGGCUUAACUGGGAGAGGUGGUUCGAAACUGUUGAGCUUGAGGUUGGGAGAGGGACGUGGAAUUCCCGGUGUAGUGGUGGAAUGCGUAGAUAUCGGGAGGAACACCAGUGGCGCAAGCGGCGUCCUGGCCCACACCUGACGCUGAGGUGCGAAAGCGUGGGGAGCAAACA